UACAGAGGGUGCAAACGUUGCUCGGAAUCAUUGGGCGUAAAGCGCACGUAGGCGGUCCAGCAAGAGGGGAGUGAAAGCCCUCGGCUUAACCGAGGAAGUGCUUUCCGAACUACUGGACUUGAGUACUGAAGAGGGUCGCGGAAUUCCCGGUGUAGAGGUGAAAUUCGUAGAUAUCGGGAGGAACACCAGUGGCGAAGGCGGCGACCUGGGCAGAUACUGACGCUGAGGUGCGAAAGCGUGGGGAGCAAACAGG
rnacentral:rRNA from 1 species